CCUACGGGAGGCAGCAGUGAGGAAUAUUGGUCAAUGGGCGCGAGCCUGAACCAGCCAAGUAGCGUGAAGGAUGACUGCCCUACGGGUUGUAAACUUCUUUUAUAAAGGAAUAAAGUGAGGCACGUGUGCCUUUUUGUAUGUACUUUAUGAAUAAGGAUCGGCUAACUACGUGCCAGCAGCCGCGGUAAUACGGAGGAUGCGAGCGUUAUCCGGAUUGAUUGGGUUUAAAGGGAGGGUAGAUGGUUUGUUAAGUCAGUUGUGAAAGUUUGCGGCUCAACCGUAAAAUUGCAAUUGAUACUGGCAAUCUUGAGUACAGUUGAGGUAAGCGGAAUUCGUGGUGUAGCGGUGAAAUGCUUAGAUAUCACGAAGAACUCCAAUUGCGAAGGCAGCUUACUAAACUGCCACUGACAUUGAGGCUCGAAAGUGUGGGUAGCAAACAGGAUUAGAUACCCUAGUAGUC
rnacentral:rRNA from 1 species